ACAACACACUGUGUUUUCUGAAGUUCUCAUGAAGCCAUGGCAGCAUUUGCCAUCCACCCCUGGGCAGUGGUUUUGUUGGGGCAAGAUUUCCCAUCUCCAGAAGAAGGAACUAAAGCUUCACAUCAGAGAGAAGAAAAACGUUCCUUCAAGUCUCAAACCACUGCAGAAGAAUAACUGAGACACUGAAUGAAUCAGAAGAGACAGAAACAAACCCAUCCUAGGUAGAAAUUUAUCACUGACAGAGCCAGGAGCUCCAGAAACAUGUGAAGAAGGCAGUGAGAGAGGUUGCAUGAAGAGAAAAGAAACCCAAACCCAGAACUUACCAGACA